rnacentral:rRNA from 2 species
UCCGGAUCGUAAAACUCUGUUCUUGGGAGAAGAAAGUAUCUGAAUAGUAACCGUUCCAGUUGGUGCCGGUUUCCAACCAGAAAAGCCCCGGCUAAUUUCGUGCCAGCAGCCGCGGUAAUACGUAGGUGGCAAGCGUUGUCCCGGAUUUAUUGGGCGUAAAGCGAGCGCAGGCGGUUUCUUAAGUCUGAUGUGAAAGCCUUCGGCUCAACCGAAGAAGUGCAUCGGAAACUGGGAAACUUGAGUGCAGAAGAGGACAGUGGAACUCCAUGUGUAGCGGUGAAAUGCGUAGAUAUAUGGAAGAACACCAGUGGCGAAGGCGGCUGUCUGGUCUGUAACUGACGCUGAGGCUCGAAAGCAUGGGUAGCAAACAGGAUUAGAUACCCUGGUAGUCCAUGCCGUAAACGAUGAGUGCUAGGUGUUGGAGGGUUUCCGCCCUUCAGUGCCGCAGCUAACGCAUUAAGCACUCCGCCUGGGGAGUACGACCGCAAGGUUGAAACUCAAAGGAAUUGACGGGGGCCCGCACAAGCGGUGGAGCAUGUGGUUUAAUUCGAAGCAACGCGAAGAACCUUACCAGGUCUUGACAUCCUUUGACCACUCUAGAGAUAGAGCUUUCCCUUCGGGGACAAAGUGACAGGUGGUGCAUGGUUGUCGUCAGCUCGUGUCGUGAGAUGUUGGGUUAAGUCCCGCAACGAGCGCAACCCUUAUUACUAGUUGCCAGCAUUUAGUUGGGCACUCUAGUGAGACUGCCGGUGACAAACCGGAGGAAGGUGGGGACGACGUCAAAUCAUCAUGCCCCUUAUGACCUGGGCUACACACGUGCUACAAUGGAUGGUACAACGAGUUGCGAGACCGCGAGGUUUAGCUAAUCUCUUAAAACCAUUCUCAGUUCGGAUUGUAGGU